GGCACGGUGGCCAAGUGGUAAGGCAUUGGUCUCGUAAACUGAAGAUCACGGGUUCGAACCCCUGCCG
rnacentral:tRNA from 1 species